rnacentral:rRNA from 1 species
GACGAACGCUGGCGGCGUGGAUUAGGCAUGCAAGUCGAACGGUAUCAUCCUUUCGGGGGUGAGAGAGUGGCGAACUGGUGAGUAACACGUAGGUUAUCUACCCUCAAGACGGGGACAACCCAGGGAAACUUGGGCUAAUACCGGAUGUGAGCAACUUUUAGUUGUUUGAAAGGUGGCGUAAGCUGUCGCUUGGGGAUGAGCCUGCGUCCUAUUAGUUAGUUGGUGAGGUAACGGCUCACCUAGGCAAUGAUAGGUAGGCGGCCUUAACGGGUGGUCGCCCACACUGGGAUUGAGAUACGGCCCAGACUCCUACGGGAGGCAGCAGUCGAGAAUAGUCUACAAUGGUCGGAAGACUGAUAGUGCGACGCCGCGUGAACGAUGAAUCCCUUCGGGGUGUAAAGUUCUUUUAUAUGUGAGCAGUGCUUCUUAUAUUUAACAGUAUGGGGAGAGAGAUAUUAGCAUAUGAAUAAGCAACGGCUAACUCCGUGCCAGCAGCCGCGGUAAACUCGU